GAGCGAACGGACGAGAAGCUUGCUUCUCUGAUGUUAGCGGCGGACGGGUGAGUAACACGUGGAUAACCUACCUAUAAGACUGGGAUAACUUCGGGAAACCGGAGCUAAUACCGGAUAAUAUUUUGAACCGCAUGGUUCAAAAGUGAAAGACGGUCUUGCUGUCACUUAUAGAUGGAUCCGCGCUGCAUUAGCUAGUUGGUAAGGUAACGGCUUACCAAGGCAACGAUGCAUAGCCGACCUGAGAGGGUGAUCGGCCACACUGGAACUGAGACACGGUCCAGACUCCUACGGGAGGCAGCAGUAGGGAAUCUUCCGCAAUGGGCGAAAGCCUGACGGAGCAACGCCGCGUGAGUGAUGAAGGUCUUCGGAUCGUAAAACUCUGUUAUUAGGGAAGAACAUAUGUGUAAGUAACUGUGCACAUCUUGACGGUACCUAAUCAGAAAGCCACGGCUAACUACGUGCCAGCAGCCGCGGUAAUACGUAGGUGGCAAGCGUUAUCCGGAAUUAUUGGGCGUAAAGCGCGCGUAGGCGGUUUUUUAAGUCUGAUGUGAAAGCCCACGGCUCAACCGUGGAGGGUCAUUGGAAACUGGAAAACUUGAGUGCAGAAGAGGAAAGUGGAAUUCCAUGUGUAGCGGUGAAAUGCGCAGAGAUAUGGAGGAACACCAGUGGCGAAGGCGACUUUCUGGUCUGUAACUGACGCUGAUGUGCGAAAGCGUGGGGAUCAAACAGGAUUAG
rnacentral:rRNA from 1 species